AUUGAACGCUGGCGGCAUGCCUUACACAUGCAAGUCGAACGGUAGAGGGGGCAACCCCUUGAGAGUGGCGAACGGGUGAGUAAUGCAUCGGAACGUGCCCAGUUGUGGGGGAUAACACUUCGAAAGAAGUGCUAAUACCGCAUACGACCUGAGGGUGAAAGCGGGGGACUCGCAAGAGCCUCGCGCAAUUGGAGCGGCCGAUGUCAGAUUAGGUAGUUGGUGGGGUAAAGGCCUACCAAGCCGACGAUCUGUAGCUGGUCUGAGAGGACGACCAGCCACACUGGGACUGAGACACGGCCCAGACUCCUACGGGAGGCAGCAGUGGGGAAUUUUGGACAAUGGACGCAAGUCUGAUCCAGCCAUGCCGCGUGCAGGAAGAAGGCCUUCGGGUUGUAAACUGCUUUUGUCAGGGAAGAAAUCCUUUGGGUUAAUACCUCGGGGGGAUGACGGUACCUGAAGAAUAAGCACCGGCUAACUACGUGCCAGCAGCCGCAGUAA
rnacentral:rRNA from 1 species